rnacentral:rRNA from 1 species
GUGUCAGCAGCCGCGGUAAUACGUAGGUGGCAAGCGUUGUCCGGAAUUAUUGGGCGUAAAGCGCGCGCAGGCGGUUCCUUAAGUCUGAUGUGAAAGGCCACAGCUCAACUGUGGAGGGCCAUUGGAAACUGGGGAACUUGAGGACAGAAGAGGAGAGCGGAAUUCCACGUGUAGCGGUGAAUGCGUAGAUAUGUGGAGGAACACCAGUGGCGAAGGCGGCUCUCUGGUCUGUAACUGACGCUGAGGCGCGAAAGCAUGGGUAGCGAACAGGAUUAGAAACCCGGGUAGUCC